AAAAAAAAAAAAGUUGUCUGAUUUAGGUUAGGUUGUGAUCCCAAUUUGCUGUCCUUAGUCCUCAAAUGGUUACUUGGUUUCUUUGAUGAGAAAGUGAUAACAAUCUUUAGAAUUUAUUAAUUCAUUUGAAGUUUGUAAUUUAUAUUUCUGAUAAUAUAUGAAUGACCCAUGCAGCCAUAUUUACCAUCUGAAACACCUCCCGGGCUUAGAGAACUAAGGGAGAAGGAGCUGAAAGACCUAAGAGGAGAUGGCACAGGGGUUCGGAAAUUAUCUGACAGAAUAUAUGAUUAUGCCACGUACAAUGAUUUGGGAAAUCCAGAUAAGGGGAAGGAAUUUAUCAGGCCGAUCCUUGGAGGCGAGAAGAUACCUUACCCACGGCGUUGCCGGACUGGUCGCCCGCCAACAGAUACCAGUAAGUUCUGUUUGGACAUAAUCCUUAGCUCAUAAUAGAAAAGGGAAUUGGGUAAAAUGCAGAAAGGUGCAAGUUAUUUCCCAACUAUAGCCAGCAUGAAGUUUGUGCAUGCCAAAUUCCACUUUGAUCAAAGGCCACGUCCUUUUCAGAUGUGAUAGCUUGGCCCUUCAAGAAACAAUCCUUCACCACGUGGUUUGAUUCCUUGAUGAUGUCCGAAUUUGACCCCAAAAAUGUAACUUUUAACUUCUGAAUAACGCCUGACUUUAUGCAAGACCUAGAAGUCGUAUUAGCUGGCAAAAAUCUAUGACAUACAAUCCAUGGGGAAAAGACAAAGUAUUGCCUAAUUAAAACAGAAAAGAGCAACUCAAGAGUAUCAGAUCGGGAUCAUGGAAAUUUCUUCUAGCUGAACAGUCUUGACAUUUCUGGAUAUUGCCAAUAGUUAGGUUGGAAUUUAUAUGACCUUAUGGAUGGGCUUUUUCCUUAUAUUUAGUCUUUUGGAAUGGUGGUCUUGGACUCUAGCGACAUCACCGAAUACAAAAUGGACAUGCAAGUGCGAGUGAAAAUUAAAGUAAUUGGCAUAAUUUGGCAUUAUCCCUAGGCCCUAGCAAUUAUUAGACUCUCACUGUUAUUAGACUUCCUGUACGAUUCAUUCCUGUAAUGUGUUUCUGAAUUAUCCAGAACUGGUGCUAAGUGGUUAUCUCUCUUUUGAGAGGGUGCUAAGUGGUUAAUUAUUACUCCCUCCAUUUUUUUAUGACAUAUGUCAUAUAAAUAUUAAUGGAGGGAGUACUGUUUCUAACAGCAACAACCAUGCACUUUACUACAAGUAUAAAGUGGUGCAGUGAAUGCUUCCAUAUAAAUUUUGGAAUUUCACCUCAUAUAGAAACAGUUAAGAAUUAACAUUAUGCUUUUACCUGUAUUGUAGACAUGCUAGCAGAGAGCAGAGUAGAGAAGCCGCAUCCAAUAUAUGUUCCCCGGGAUGAGGCAUUUGAGGAGCUGAAGCAGGGUGCCUUCUCAUCAGGGAGGCUCCGGGCAGUACUUCACACGCUGAUCCCAUCGCUGAUUGCAUCCAUCUCAGCUGAGACCCACAAUUUCCAAGGCUUCCACCACAUUGACAACCUCUAUAAGGAGGGCCUCAGGCUGAAGCUGGGUCUGCAAGAACACCUGUUCCAGAAGAUACCACUUGUUCAGAAGAUUCAGGAGUCGAGUGAAGGGAUGCUUCGUUAUGACACACCUAGCAUUCUUUCUAGUAAGAAUAAGUUGAUUAAUUCAUUUUUUUUUACCUCAAGCUGAUUUGCCAGAAGAAAAUUCUGUUCGAUGUCAGACUGUUAAAAGAGUUACCACUUAAACGUUGUCUCCUAAUUUUGCAGAGGACAAGUUUGCAUGGCUCCGUGAUGAUGAAUUUGCUAGGCAGGCUGUUGCAGGAAUAAACCCAGUUAACAUCGAGAGGCUCCAGGUAAUCUGCUGUUAAUAUUCAUCAACAACAGUAAGAUUUUUCAUAAGAACUAAACUGUGAUAAUUGCCCGGAAAUAGGUUUUCCCACCGGUGAGCAAGCUGGAUCCUGCAAUAUAUGGACCACCAGAAUCAUCAAUCACUGAAAAACAUAUAGCUGGACAUCUCAACGGACUCACAGCACAACAGGUACUCAUCAAAAUGAUGAGGUCUUAAAUUAUGUUCAGUUGUGUCCCCAUGGUUAUUCUUUCUGAUCACAUGUCACAAUUGAAGGCGAUGGACGAGGCCAAGCUGUUCAUAAUGGACUACCAUGAUGUGUACCUGCCAUUCUUGGACCGGAUCAAUGCAAUAGAGGGACGGAAAGCAUAUGCAACCCGAACAAUCUUCUUCCUGACAGAAGCUGGCACGCUGAAACCGAUUGCUAUCGAGCUGAGCCUUCCUCCAACUCAGCCAGGGGAGCCUGGGCCAAGCAAGGUGCUGACUCCUCCCUGUGAUGCUACCACGAAUUGGCUCUGGAUGCUUGCCAAGUCCCAUGUCAGCUCCAACGAUGCUGGCGUCCAUCAGCUGGUCAAUCACUGGUAAAAAAAAAGAUUGAUCUGCCAUCCCUCUCCAAAUCAAGAACCUAAAAGAACAAAAAUGUCACAAUGCCAUUGCUGCUUCAAUAAGAACACCAAGGCGUCAAGUAAUUUCUGAACAUUGUCUGUGACUUACCGAGUCCCUUCGAUGAACUCUUUCAGGCUGAGGACGCAUGCAACAAUGGAGCCGUUCAUCCUGGCGGCGCACCGGCAUAUGAGCGCAAUGCACCCCAUCUUCAAGCUCCUGCACCCGCACAUGCGGUACACGCUCGAGAUCAACGCGCUUGCACGGCAGAGCCUCAUCAACGCCGAUGGAGUGAUCGAGUCCUGCUUCACCCCCGGCCCCGUCUCCGGCGAGAUCAGUGCGGCUUACUACCGCAACCACUGGCGGGGGGGGCGGUUCGACCUGGAGGGCCUCCCUUCCGACCUCAUCCGCAGGCACGUCCAUGUCCUCCCCAUCACCAGCCAUUGUCUGAUUCUGCAAACGAAGCUUUUGCACUUUCAUGGUCAUUGGCAUUGCCUGAUUCGGGUGCAAUUCUCAGGGGAGUUGCUGUGGAGGACGCGACGCAGCCCCAUGGCGUCAGGCUUCUCAUCGAGGACUACCCUUACGCGAAUGACGGGCUUCUGCUUUGGUCGGCCAUUCGCAACUGGGUGGAGUCGUACGUGCAGCUCUACUACCCGGACGCGGGGACGGUGCAGGGCGACCUCGAGCUCCAGGGGUGGUACCACGAGUCGGUCCAUGUCGGGCACGGCGACCUCCGCGACGCGCCGUGGUGGCCGCCGCUCUCGACGCCGGCGGACCUGGCGUCGAUUCUGAUGACGCUCGUCUGGCUCGCGUCGGCGCAGCACGCGGCGCUCAACUUCGGGCAGUACCCUCUGGGCGGGUACGUCCCGAACCGGCCGCCGCCGAUGCGGCGGCGGCGGCCNNNNNNNNNNNNNNNNNNNNNNNNNNNNNNNNNNNNNNNNNNNNNNNNNNNNNNNNNNNNNNNNNNNNNNNNNNNNNNNNNNNNNNNNNNNNNNNNNNNNNNNNNNNNNNCGGGGGCGGCGUGCCGUGGACGGCGGACGAGGCGGCCGUGGCGGCGCACGCCAUGUUCUCGGCCGACGUGCGGCGCGCCGAGGAGGCCAUCGAGAGGCGCAACGCCGACCACAGCCGCAAGAACCGGUGCGGCGCCGGGGUGCUGCCGUACGAGCUGCUGGCGCCCAGCUCGCCGCCGGGGGUCACCUGCCGCGGCGUGCCAAACAGCAUCUCCAUUUGAUCCGGCGACAUUGCCAAUCCAUUGUUGAUUGAUUCCCCUCUGUUCUUGUUUCCGAUCUGUAAUUUUAGUAAGAUGAAUAUGAAUUUAGGAGAGUAUUAAUCAGGGGCCGGCGCGUGAAUUUCUCAGCAUCGGUAGGCAAACCCUCGCUUGCUUCUUCACCGCUCCACAAUGCUGCGCCCCUCGCCGUAGUUCAGUGGCUCGGGCGGCCGCACGUCGACGUCCUUCGUCGCCUUCCUCUCCCUCCCUGCCUCCGCUUCCUCUGCUCCGCAGCACAGCGAGGAAAACAGUAGAAUAUCGUAGCAAAUUACCGUGACAAAAAUAAUAAUAAAGUUACUGUUUUAUAUUACAUCAAAUUAUUAUAGCAGAGAGAUCUAGGGUCAAUUAUCUCGAAACGGAUAGCUGAGAUUCUUUCCCGUGUCACAGUAUUGUUCUUCUCUGCCAUUAGUAUGCAGAGUUAAGAGUAAUUCAAUUCUCUGUCGUGGACCUGUGGUCAUCCCAUCCUAAUUGACCACCUCCACCCCAUGAGCCACGAUUUUUAUUAUUUUUAAAUGUUAUUAUUUUUUAAAAAAAACUACACCGUCUAAACUUAUUUUCAAAUAUGACAAUAUUUUCACACCAUCCCAUCCGUAAAGAAAUAACAAUGCCACACUAUGAGUUGAGUUGGUGUAUGGUAUUUUUCUAUGCCAGCUAGUUCAGUUGGCAUGAUCAAUGCUACCACGUAACCGUAAUGGUGUGACAAUAUUAUAUGACUAUGCUGGACAAACUUGCGUGAUUGAAAAUUUCAAAUUUAGAAACAAGUCUUACGAGGUUCUAUAUUUUAAAAUAAAAAUUCCAAAACAUAAAAAAAUUCCCGGGCUGCGGCUAUCAUAUUUGCUGUUUUCAGUUUGCAAUGUAAGGCAAUACCUUUGCUGAUCUUACUAGCAAUUAUGCUAUGCAGUCUGCAAGUUCUGCACCAGUGCACCACUGAACUUUGCCUGCUUAAUUGCUGAACAUCUCAAGGCAUCAGAGCAUCGCCACAUUUCAGUCUUCUUCUACAGUGAAAAUGUGACACGUGGUAAGACCUGCUGGUAAGAACAGAGAACAAGCUUACAUUGAUACAAAUGUUCAGGAAACGGCCUGAGAUCAAAGUUUGCUUCAGAGGACCAAAAUCCAAAAUCCCUGUCAAGUAGGAAUAGGUGCCAAGCCAGAUUUAACUCUGCCUACUGAUAUUAAGGAAGAAGAACCUCUAUGUAAAGAAAGAAAAAGAGCAAAAAGGAAAAAAUAACUUUAAAAUCCCGCCUCCUUGUUAGGAAGGAAAAGCCAGAAAGCAAAGAGGUUUGGUUUACGUAUGGUGGAAGGUGACAUUUUCCAGUCGGAACGACGGAGCUCUAAAUAAAAGGUAUGAAAUCCAAUCCCUUAUCUUUCUUAAGCGUAGGGAUGAAAGCCAAGAAUGAAGUCGUCUCAUCUCGUAUGGUAGCCUAUUCUUUAACCUCUCGUUGACAAUAGUAGUAUAUAUCAUCAGACUCCGACUGCCUCGAAGACUUGAACUCCGGAAGCAAUUUUCACUAAAUGAUGUGGUGACACACUACAUACAGGGUUGCUAGUUUUCUUCACAUUAGCCCAAGUACAAACUAAAAGGCACAAAAGUACCAGGUCUAUAGAAUGAGCAAACUAAAAAAAUUAGUACUGCACAGAAUAUAGUUACUCAACAAAACUGUUCAUACACAACGAAGGUCGGAAAAGUGUCAUAACAGCACAAUCACAUUGUAACACCGAACAAAAGAACAGAAAACGUGUAACUCCAUUUUAUAUUUUCAUUUGUAUAAAUGACAGACAUGAACAUGCAGUUUUAUGUGGAUCAGCAUCUCAUUUUUACAACAGGAGCAACUAACUCAAGCCAGGAAGUGGUAAUAUCCCCAUGGCAUUGCUCACCCUAAUAAAAAGAAAAACUGAGUAAAGAGCAAUGAGACCAACUCCAAGUAUCUUGUUAGGCUGCAUGCCACUUCGAGGCAGCAUAACAAGAGCCCAAAUCAAUCCACCAAUGAGGAAACUCAUUGUGUAAAUGAGAGAGGGGUCUUGAGGAAGCACAUAAGAAUUGGGUGCUGUUGACCAAGCUCCAAGCAGCAUUGAUAUUCCCAAUCCAGCAAGUGUAUUGAACAUUGGUCCUGCAUAACAUCCAGACAUGGCGAUCUGCACACCGUCUCCUCCAUUCAUCGCCAAGGCAACAUUUGACAUUAAGUCACCCAUCGAAUUACCCCAUGCCAACACAGUUAACCCAAGAAUUGAAGGAUUAAUCCCCAAUAUCACACCAAAAGCGACCAAAAGUGCAACUAAUUCAUUGGCAAUGAUGUAGAACCAGAUAAUGCUCAUCACAAACCCUCCCAACACCCAUGGGAAUAAAAAUCUCCGUGGAGGUUGUUCAUGGCUAGUGAACAUGAAAGCAAGAGAAGCAAGUGCAAUUCCCAAAAUACCAGCUAUAACAUAUGCUACUAUAAGAGCUUUGGUGGAUACCCCAUCCUGACUGCUCCAAAGAAAUGCCAGAAGAACAGGCGCUAAGCCAGCACUAGCAACAGCAAAUUCUUUUGACCACCGGUCUUCCUCAACUAUUGGAAUUGUCAACCUUCUUGGUAUUGUCAAGGGGAGCUCCAAAAAUAAAAACAGCUUGGAGAAGCUGAUUGAGGUAUUAUCCACUUCUUCAUCACUCCAACCCCAUAGUGGCCUGGAACUAUCAGGUGAACCACCUCUGAUCCCAUGAUUUGAGUAAAUGGCCACAUGAGAAGCCCACAUCCACUGAGGUAGGGAUGUGUUUAUUCGAGCCACCUCACCAUCUGAUUCCUCCUCAAGAAGUGAACUGUACACAGACUCAUCGUCUUCUGUUCCUUGUGCGAAGAUACUCCCUCUCACAGGCAGCAAUGGUGUGACCACAUCGAACUUAAGCCUCCGUGCAUGCUUCCUCAAGACCUCAUUUGCAGCCACCACAAAUGCAUAAACCACAUAAAUCGAAACAAACAUGAUUGCUCCCCAAACGGUCACCUUCCCAACAAUCAAAAUAAUUGACAGCACUACUAGAGUCAUCAGAAAGAAACCAACAUCCCUCACAAAGCAUCUUCUAUCAAUCUGCACAUUCUUCUCCGCCACGCACAAUGACACAGCUCCCACCACAACACACGUCACAAAGACCGCUCCACCCAACACACUGUUCAGCCCAACAUCCCCAGCGCCGCUCCCCAUAAACGCAGCAAUACUCGCAAACACAUCAGGUGCACCAUUUCCAAAGGGGAGCAACGUCACUCCGGCAACAGUCGGUGGGAGCCGUAGCAGCGCGGACAUCUUCUCAAGGCUGCAGCAGAAGUAGUCCGCAGCCGUGUUCCCAAGCAUAUAGAACAGAGCGGCCAGGCACACGCCAAGCACCGCAUAGCCGAGCGCCCUGAACCUCUCGCAACGGCAGUAGAAGAAGCCCAAGUAGUCCACGAACCCGCCGGAGCUACACUGCGGGUGCGCCCGGAGGAACUCGCACUGGGAACCGAACCCCUCGUGCCGCGCUAUCCCGGCGCACGCCACGGAGGGAUCCUCCGGCGGCUCGCCGCUCUGCUUCGCGACCUCCGACAGGUUCGCGCCUCUGGACGCGGAGCUGAUAGGAUCGGCAUCGAAGAGGAAUCUACGGAACACCGGGCGCGAAUUGGAGCCCAGCAGCCGUGGAGACCGCGGCAAGCUCCUAUCGGAGCGGCCGUAGUACAGGAGGAAGAGGAACAGUACCAGGGAGGCGGCGGCGAGGGGCCGAAUCCGGCGAGGAUGCCGUCCCGCCGACGGGACCNNNNNNNNNNNNNNNNNNNNNNNNNNNNNNNNNNNNNNNNNNNNNNNNNNNNNNNNNNNNNNNNNNNNNNNNNNNNNNNNNNNNNNNNNNNNNNNNNNNNNNNNNNNNNNNNNNNNNNNNNNNNNNNNNNNNNNNNNNNNNNNNNNNNNNNNNNNNNNNNNNNNNNNNNNNNNNNNNNNNNNNNNNNNNNNNNNNNNNNNNNNNNNNNNNNNNNNNNNNNNNNNNNNNNNNNNNNNNNNNNNNNNNNNNNNNNNNNNNNNNNNNNNNNNNNNNNNNNNNNNNNNNNNNNNNNNNNNNNNNNNNNNNNNNNNNNNNNNNNNNNNNNNNNNNNNNNNNNNNNNGUGGGGGUGGGGGCGAGUAAUUCGGGGGGACGGCGAGGGGUUUCGGGGGGAUCCGGGUCGUCGGGGUUAGGGUUUGCGCGGAGGGGGAGGGGAGGGUGGGGCGGUGCGGUUUGGGAAUUGCGAGACGGAGUUGACGACGACGCGAACGCGAGGAAGGAAGGAGACCGCGCGAAGGAAUCUAAGUGGGCCGUAUGUGCUGGGCUCAAAUCGUAUUGGUCUGAUCAUGCGCGGUAGCAAUAGGCCUAACUGUUUGGGGAAAAAAGAAAAGGCACUUUAGAUUCCUCAACUAACUAUCGGCUAUAGAGCAAGACUAAUAAUAUAGUCAACAUGCUGGCUACAAGAGAUUUUUUUAUAGUUUUCUUUUAGUUCAUCCAUCCAUAUAUUAGUUAGCUCUUCAUCAUUAAUGACCCACAUAUCACUCUCACAGAGUUUCUUGGUUCCUGUGCUCAAGCUGGCUACAAGCUAACAGCAUGCUUGCACUCUCUCUCAUCCACUCUCUCUUCCUCAUAAGCAUAUAGCCAGUUUAUAGCCUGCUAUUAUACUUGCUCUUAGGGCUAGCAAUCGACACAGAAAAAGUUGCAGUGGAUUGAUACGUCAUUAAUUAAUUAUUAACUAUAAAAAAUAAAAAUUGAUUAAUAUAAUUUUAAAGCAUCUUUUGUAUAGAAAAUUUUAGCAAAAAAUACAUCGGUUAAUAGUUUGGAUGUGUGCGUGCGAAAAACGAGAGAAUCUGGGCAAAUAAUGGGCACAAACGAACUAGACCUAUGAGUGGUAUGUUUCAUUCAGGUCUCUCAACUGUAGUAUAGUGCACACAUGGGGUGGAUCUAGAAUGAAAUACAGAGAUACAGCUCGCUCGCUUUUUAGUGCUUUGAACCAACUUUAUAUUGUCGCUAAUGUCUAAGUUUAGAUUGAAAGAGAUGUCUAUAUAGUAAAAUAGGUAAAAUCUAGCUUAAAAUAAUUUCUAAACCAGGUUUCUACAAACCCCCUCCCCUUCCUUAUACCACAUGAACACAUCUAAGUGUAUCGUCCUAACUCUUGCUCAUGUACAAGGACUUGGUGGUAAAUCUUGAGUCUUGCUAAAUUUCGGCCGAAAGUGCAACCGCGUGUGCCGUGUGGUGUUGGUACCUGCUAUGUCGUAGAAUUGAGUAAUGUUUGAUUGAUUUUCAUUUUCACCCAAAGUACUUUGUUCAAAAAAAUAAUAAUUCACACAAUUUAGAAGUAACAAGGCAAGGAGAAAAACUGCGACGACAAACCAGUUAUCUACCUCAGGAGAGCUGCAGCCUGCUGAGUGCUGACAGCUCGCCAUGCCAUGUAGGACCUUCUAGAAGAUUCUGCGGUACUGCCCAUGGUGCCAAUGAAAGAUAUUUUUUUGGAGUCAAGGUCAUUCUUAAACUCCCAGUGGUUGUCCAUGUUCACAUAAAUCCAAUUAGGCAGCAAGUUGCAAUGAGCUCUAUCAAUGCAGCUCAACCUGAUGCAUAAACAUCAAGGCUUGCUGCUUUGUUUUCCUGGCAAGAAAAGAACACUUGUGAAGUUGUGAUCACUGAUCAUCUCAUCAAUCAGCCACUGGAUUCCUGCAUAUAAUUAAUCCUGGGAUGUUUUGGAACAUACCUCUCAAAAAAGAAAAAGAAAAGGUUAAUGCCAUGUCACAGCACAUCCGUGACUAUUGACCAAUAAUCAAUGGAAGGUUGUUUGGCUUUUUGACAUAUUUACAAACAAAAAAUAAUUUAUGAAUAAAAAUUAUAUAUAUAUAUAUAUAUUCUUAGCGAUCUAAAAGCCAAGGCUGAAAAAUAAACUUCGGUGAAAAAAUAUUAAAAUCAACUCCAAAUUUAAAGUUAAAAUUUAAAAUUUGGCUUAUAAACAUAAGUAAAAGUGAAAAGACGUGGUGAACACAAAGUUAACAGCAGAUAAUUUGCCAAAGUGUCCAACGCGGCCGACGCAUUAGCUCACGCUUCCACGCAUAAUUUAGGUUACAAAGGCCAUCAAAGGUGAGGAGAUCCAUCAUGAGAAGCACAAAUCGAAUAUGCCAGGAACACUAUGCGCUUGAGCAGGGAGGAAUCUGGGCAUGAUAGGAUCGAUCGAUAGCUACACGAAAAUUUGGCUUUAAUCCAGCGUGGUCCAGCUUCCUGAUGGAACUGGCGCUUAAAUUAUCCGGCCAAGAGCAAAAAAACAUGUACGGGAAAUGGCGUUUUUAAAUUCGAGGCUGGAUUAAAAGCUGGAGGAAAAUAAUUAGUGCGUAAUGGCGGGCGGCCAGAUCAUGAACUCCACCAAGUACACUUGUGUAGUGCUAGACAAAGAAGCUAUGAUUAUGUGGUGAGGAGAAGAUUCGAUCUGACAGUACUGCGGCGAGUCUUCGUUAAAUCAUCGCACGGGUGAUGGUUAAAGUUAUAUUUACAAACGAAAAAAAUUAUAAAUAAAAUUUUUAUAUAUGUUCUUAAUGUUUUAAAAGUUAAAAAAAAACUCAAGAUCAACUCUAUUUUUAAGGUUGAAAAUUUAAAUUUUAGCUUAUAAGUAUGAGUAAAAGCGAAAAGAUGCGAUAACACUUGUUCUGAAUUAAUUACGGUGGAUUUAUGCAGAUUACUUUGGUUGAACUGUUUUCAGAUUUUUAUGGACUUAAUGAGUCGCAAAUUGUAGAGCUACAUGCCGAUUAAACAGAGAACUAGUGCAUCACAUUAUUCAUAACCGACAGUUCAUCAACACUCGCUCAACAGUAACGCAUGUGCAUCUGAUAGUGACUCGUUUGAUUAUGAGACCAAUACAAACACCCCAAACCCUCACUAAAAUCACAGAAUUUGGUUCCUCAUGUCGGCUGUGACGAAAAAAAGGUUAUGGUGAGAGAAAAGAGACCAUGGUGGAUUACGGAUGGUUAAAUUUUUUAGGUUAAUUUUGGAGCAUGUGAAGAUUAGCAUCACGAACAGGGCUAGAUUAUCACUCCAUCCAUCCAACCACACCAAACCUUGGAAGAUUUUGCCAUCUGUUCCAGCCAAUCAGAGACCCUGGAAUCAACAUCAGACGCCCUUAAAGAUUCCCAAGCUGCAAUUAUUGAACGGUGUUUCCAAUCCUUAAUUUGCAAGCUUGAUCCUUAUGUUUUUAUAAUAAAAGGGGAUCAAUCUAGAGUUCAUUUUUGAUCUGGAGCAAAAGUUGACUUUUGCUCGUUUGAACUCUUUCUGAAUUAUGGCUGAAGAAAUGGUGAGGAACAUGGCCGGUUUCCCCUGCAGGCCAACAGAUAAGGGCAAACCUUGCUUGAAAUUGAAUCACUAGUGUUGGAUAUAUUUCUGUAUUAUGUCACUUGCCUCAAAUUUCAGGUUGGUUUGACAUUGGCCUUUGCUUGCUUCACUACUCAAAUACUCCAUCCCUUUAAAAAAACAUUUCUAGAAUUUAAAUUUUAUGUUGUAAUUCUUAUGACUCUAGGACCAAUUAGAUGCUUAGAAAGAAAAUCUAAUCAAUUCAAAAUUUAAAAAUUAACCACAAAAGUGACUAAAAUGAAUCUUUUGAUAUCUCCUUAGUCUUGCUAAACAAACUAAAAAUACUCAUAUUUUAAAACAGAGGCAAUACCUGCAGGUUGAAUCGUUGCACUACGAUAUUCUUGUAUGAAAUAAAACGUAAGACAUACAACCAUGCACCUAACUUUAUGAUUAUGGAAAUGUUCUACUCGUGCGAUGUGAUGUGAAAAAUAUGCAACAUACAGCGUAAAAGUUCAUAAAAGGUGAGAAUAUAUAGCUAGUGUUAAGAUGCUCCAGCUAGAGCAGCAUUCUUGUGAGUCACAUUAUGCUGAAUUUGACAGAGUCCAAACAAAUUAUAUCUCAAAGUCCAAACUAAACCAAGAAAUGUGCUCAGGUCUUGUAUGCUUCCUAUCUUAGCCGAAAUGAGCAGAAUAUUUCAUCUCCUAAAGUUCUUUUCAUGGCAGGGAUAACACAUAGAUGCCAAAAAAAAAAAAGAAAAAUUUGUCAAAAUUGUAUUGAACAGGAUGAACAGAGAAAAUGGAAUUCUUCCACCUAGCUCUCAAUCUCUCAUUAUCCUCCAGAAUGUUUUCUUCCAUUCCUUCACAGUUACACAGAGCUGGAGAACUUGCAGGAUUUGCGUACAGAUUGAGCACGUAAUUAUUGCAAGCUAAAUGUAAUUAAGCUAGGAAAUUAAGCAGUAAUUAAGGUGAAGAAAUGAAAGAGAAGAGGCUAGGCCUAGCUAGCGCCUGGAAGAGCAAAUCUUCGAUCUGUCGUCGUCUCAGGCGUCAUGGAACUCCAGCACCACCACGGACUUCUCCGUCUUCCCGCCGCCANN
rnacentral:lncRNA from 1 species